UACGUAGGUGGCAAGCGUUGUCCGGAUUUACUGGGUGUAAAGGGUGCGCAGGCGGGACGGCAAGUCAGCUGUGAAAACUACGGGCUUAGCCUGUAGACUGCAGUUGAAACUGUUGUUCUUGAGUGGAGCAGAGGUAGGCGGAAUUCCGAGUGUAGCGGUGAAAUGCGUAGAUAUUCGGAGGAACACCAGUGGCGAAGGCGGCCUACUGGGCUCUAACUGACGCUGAGGCACGUAAGCAUGGGGAGCAAAC
rnacentral:rRNA from 1 species